rnacentral:rRNA from 1 species
UACGGAGGAUGCGAGCGUUAUCCGGAUUUAUUGGGUUUAAAGGGUGCGCAGGCGGAAUGUCAAGUCAGCGGUAAAAUUUCGGGGCUCAACCCCGUCGUGCCGUUGAAACUGGCGUUCUUGAGUGAGCGAGAAGUAUGCGGAAUGCGUGGUGUAGCGGUGAAAUGCGUAGAGAUCGGGAGGAACACCAGUGGCGAAGGCGGCCUGCUGGACGAUGACUGACGUUGAGGCUCGAAAGCGUGGGGAGCAAACAGG